AUUGAACGCUGGCGGCAGGCUUAACACAUGCAAGUCGAACGAGCGGCGGACGGGUGAGUAAUGUAUGUGGAUCUGCCUGAUGGCGGGGGAUAACUACUGGCAACGGUAGCUAAUACCGCAUACCCUCAGAUGCACCCAUAUGGGAUGAGCUUGUAGGUGAGGUCACGGCGCACCUAGGCGACGAUCCCUAGCUGGUCUGAGAGGAGGAUCAGCCACACUGGGACUGAGACACGGCCCAGACUCCUACGGGAGGCAGCAGUGGGGAAUAUUGCACAAUGGGCGCAAGCCUGAUGCAGCCAUGCCGCGUGUAUGAAGAAGGCCUUCGGGUUGUAAAGUACUUUCAGUAGCGAGGCGUUAACUACAGAAGAAGCACCGGCUAACUCCGUGCCAGCAGCCGCGGUAAUUC
rnacentral:rRNA from 1 species